UCCUCAGUGCGUCACGGGUGGAGGGGGAGGAAGAGAAAGAAGCGGCGGAGAUGCCCCUCGGUGCCGAGCCUGAGAGGUGUUUUCAUUCCGUGUAUGGAAUCCAGAAUGGUUUGGGUGGGAAGGGACCCCAAAGCUCUCCAGUUCCAUCCCUGCCAUAGUUAGGGACGGGACACCUUCCAAUGUCCCAGGUUGCCCCAUCUAUCUGGCCUUGGACGCUGCCAGGGAAUUCAGACAAGAUCUGAGCCUGUUUCAAAUGGGGCUGGUUACAGCAAUACCAAACAAACGCCUGGAAAUGAUGAAGAGGAGCACAGCUUCCAGAGACUUCAGGUUGUGUUAAGAAUAACACUUUUUUCAGCAGAUUCAUUGUGUAACAAGAGGGAUCUGCCCAGUGUCAAAGAUAUUUGAGAUUGUGGCUUCAGGUGCCGCCACUAAUGAAGGCCUCAGCCUUGGAAUCAGGAUGAAGCUGGAGCCUGAAGGAGCCAGGCACACUCAGGAGAGG